rnacentral:rRNA from 1 species
UACGUAGGGUGCGAGCGUUGUCCGGAAUUACUGGGCGUAAAGAGCUCGUAGGUGGUUUGUCGCGUUGUCCGUGAAAACUCACAGCUCAACUGUGGGCGUGCGGGCGAUACGGGCAGACUGGAGUACUGCAGGGGAGACUGGAAUUCCUGGUGUAGCGGUGGAAUGCGCAGAUAUCAGGAGGAACACCGGUGGCGAAGGCGGGUCUCUGGGCAGUAACUGACGCUGAGGCGCGACAGCGUGGGGAGCAAACAGG